AGUGCUACAACCGGAAACGCGGCUGGAGGCCAGUGGAUGCUUGAUGGAGCAGUUCGCGCCGUGGUGCGCGCGCGCCAGGGCUUAGGCUCCAAGUAAAGGCCUUCUUCAUCCAUCCACCCACAACCAGCUCGACCUGGGACUCCUGGCUCAGGCUUGGCGUGGGCUCCAUCCCACCGCGAUGCUAGCAUGCGUAUUGGGGUGCCUUGUCUUGGGGUGGGAGAACCUGUUGUAAGAAAUUGUUUGUGGUAUAGUCGAAAAUGACAGAAAUUUAGUCUGAAGUCUUGAGUUUAGGUCCAGGCUUUCCACUACUGUGCAUUCCUGGGCCGCUUGCUUAACCUCUCUGGACCCAGCCUCCUCAUCUUGCAGAGAGAAGUUCUAUUAUGAACUAAGUGGGUUGUUGGCGUUUGGUAAGAUGUAGAGUUGGAAGAUCUUUAUAAAGUAGAAGAAGCCUUAUUUUUGGUUGUCUAUUGUUAUUAGAACAUUUUGGCACUGUCUGGGGAAAGUCAGCCGGCACCUCAGCUGACUGGGGCGUAUGUUCCCGCAGAAGGAGACCCGGGCGGGGUCAAACAGGUUGAACCAUUGCCCUCUUCUGCUCAGAACAGGUGUCCCCAGCCUCGGGGAAAGACAUUUGGAAGGAAAAGCAGGGGGCGUCAGUGACCCUCCGAGGGCUGCAGAGGCUAGCCAUGUGCUCCUCUGAGGCCUUAAUCCCAGUAUCCCAAACAAGCCGCUCAGGACUGGGUCCCCGGCAGAUCGCCGCCCGAACUCGGCCCCCAGUUCGUUUCUUCCAGCGCUUGGCCUGGGCUCACCGCGCGCCCUCACCCCGGUCCAGCUGCGCCUAGAGUUCACUCGGGGCAGCAGAGGACCCGCGAGUAGGCGCUCAGACAGACAGACGCCGCGGUGCCGGGCGGUCUCCGGCUGCGCCCGGGUCUGCGAAUCAAAGGAGAAGCGUCCUUCUCUCACCCUCUCACCCCGCUCCGCUGGCUAGCCAAGCACGGAACCCGCCAGGCUCUGGCCAACCGGCUCACAUGGCCCGGAGCCCAGAGGCUCGCUGAGGCGGCUUCUCUUUACUUUAAACAGGGGGCCUCAUAAGACCUGUUGAGGGGCCCUGCAACACUGUAUACAGAAUCGCCUAUUUAAAAAAAUACACCCAAAAUACAAUUUUGAGACCAGCAUCCAGGCUCUGAAGACCUGUGACAGCCAUCCAUGGAGUCAUGUUAAGAACCUCCACUCCAACUAACCCAAAGCUCACAGCCCUGGAGGAGAAGAAGCCUGUUUGGGGAAUUCUACCUUGGCUCCAUGUCUCUGAAGAGGCUUGUCCCAGGGAAUAUAAUGGGAUCCUCGCUCACACACAACCCAACAGCCGACCCACAAUGGCACACCUCCCAGUUAUUGCCUUAGUCCGGCAAACCCCUGGCUAAGCAUCCACAGCCGAGCUGAGGGCAGUGAGAAAAGUUCAAGUCGCCAGCUGAAGUGGUCUUUAACACCCCCCCCCCGGCCUUCUCAGCCUCACUGUUUAUCCAUAUGAAGCGCUCUCCUUCCCGGCCCACUUCCACCCCCACCUUUCUGAGAUCGGCUAUAAAAAUAAACUAUUUUUCCUUGUUAAUAAAU
ensembl:lncRNA novel transcript